rnacentral:rRNA from 1 species
GUGCACCAGUCGAGAAAACUUCACAAUGUGCGAAAGCACGAUGAGGGAAUCCCAAGUGCUUGCUCGUAAGAGUAAGCUGUUUCUCUGUCUAAAACGCAGAGAGAGUAAGGGCUGGGUAAGACGGGUGCCAGCCGCCGCGGUAAUACCUGCAGCUCGAGUGGUGGCCGCUAUUAUUGGGCCUAAAACGUCCGUAGCCGGUUUAUUAAAUGCCUGGGUAAAUCGGACCGCUUAACGGUUCGAAUUCCGGGUAGACUGAUAAACUUGGGACCGGGAGAAGCUAGAGGUACUCCUGGGGUAGAGGUGAAAUUCUGUAAUCCUAGGGGGACCACCAGUGGCGAAGGCGUCUAGCUAGAACGGGUCUGACGGUGAGGGACGAAGCCCUGGGGCGCAAACGGGGAUUAGAUA